GUCAGAUAAUAUUACAUCCUUCAUUAACAAAAAUUCAAGAUGUAUUGAUAGACUUUAUAACAAAUAUUAUAAAUGCAAAUAAGAACAUUCCUCGGGUUGAAAAGUUAAUGUUUCCAGAAAUGAAAGAUGAUAAACUUUAUUUGAUGCCAGUUCUACAGGAUGAUAUUGAGGUGCAGAAAUGCAUUGAAAGAACUAAAAAAAUUUAUCAAAAUAAUUUUUUAGGUUCUAUAGGAAAAAAGUUUCAAGAAAUAUUUGCUGAUUUUACUGAUAUAAUAGAAGGAAAAGCUUCUCAGGAUUUCAAAGAAUUUAUUGAAUCUAAACC
rnacentral:lncRNA from 1 species